UGCUUCUCAUGAGCUCCUCUCUGUCAAUCCAGUGGCGGUGUACGGAUUCGCACGAGAAGUAGAUUCAGAUUCACAUUUAAACCGGUGAUCCCACUAUGUUUUGGGGUUUACCUAUGUCUGAUGUGAGACAAGA